CCUCGGCCAGGCCCCGGCAGCAGAAGGGAGGCAGCUGUGCUGCAAACUACUGGAGUCCGGACAUGCAGGACCGCAGGCUGCAGGCUCCCAUUUGGCAGAAAGGACUUUUGCUGAAAUCCCCAGCGGGGCACUCGACCCCUCUAGUGGGUUGUGCCAUGCACUCCAUUGUCGCCGCCCCCGACCGGCCCCUGGCACCGUGUCCCUCCUACCUGAGCAGGCUCUGACUCCAGCCCUGGACACAGCUGGGGUGGCCACGGUGACUGCUGAGAAGAGGGGCUGUCCACACAGCCUGGUGGCUUGGAGCCCCGGGACCCCCACACCUGGGCGCCCGACAGCCCCGUGUGCAGGAGACGCACAGCACUCACCGACCCCAGGCGUGACUACGUUUGAGGCAACCAUGAAGGCUUCAGACAUUCAAACUUCUUAAUAGACCAGGCGUGGUGGCUCACGCCUGGAAUCCCAGCACUUUGGGAGGCUGAGCUUUCCUCAUUGGCCGUCAUGCCUUGGAUCAUUAAGGACACUUUGGAACGGAGCUUUGCUAUUCUCUGAAGAUACACAAAAUCCUCCACUGCUCACGUCAUAAUCUAUUUACCAACUGUGGAAAAUUCCGCGGUGCCUGUGGUUUUUAAAGUGAUGCUGAAGCGAG
rnacentral:lncRNA from 1 species